GCCUUCGUGGUGUAAUGGUCAGCACACUCGGCGUGCAUUCGAGAGGUCUAAGGUUCGAGUCCCGGCGAGGGCA
rnacentral:tRNA from 1 species